CAGUCGCCGCGGUAAUACGAGGGGCGCAAGCGUUAUUCGGAUUGAUUGGGUGUAAAGGGUGUGCAGACGGCUUAUUAAGUCACUUGUUAAAUUCUUCGGCCUAACUGAAGGUCUGCAAGUGAUACUGAUGAGCUAGAGGGUGGAAGAGAGAAGUGGAAUUCUCGGAGUAGCGGUAAAAUGCGUAGAUCUCGAGAGGAACACCAAUGGCGAAGGCAGCUUCUUGGUCCAUUCCUGACGUUCAUACACGAAAGCGUGGGGAGCAAACAGGAUUAGAUACCCCAGUAGUCCCUGUCUCUUAUAC
rnacentral:rRNA from 1 species